GUGAGUAAUACAUCGGAACGUGCCCAGUUGUGGGGGAUAGCCCGGCGAAAGCCGGAUUAAUACCGCAUACGACCUACGGGUGAAAGCGGGGGAUCGCAAGACCUCGCGCUAUUGGAGCGGCCGAUGUCGGAUUAGCUAGUUGGUAAGGUAAAGGCUCACCAAGGCGACGAUCUGUAGCGGGUCUGAGAGGAUGAUCCGCCACACUGGAACUGAGACACGGUCCAGACUCCUACGGGAGGCAGCAGUGGGGAAUUUUGGACAAUGGGGGCAACCCUGAUCCAGCCAUUCCGCGUGAGUGAAGAAGGCCUUCGGGUUGUAAAGCUCUUUCGGCAGGAACGAAACGGCGAGCUCUAACAUAGCUCGCUAAUGACGGUACCUGAAGAAGAAGCACCGGCUA
rnacentral:rRNA from 1 species